rnacentral:rRNA from 1 species
GUAAGUGGCAAGCGUUGUCCGGAAUUAUUGGGCGUAAAGCGCGCGCAGGCGGUUCUUUAAGUCUGAUGUGAAAGCCCACGGCUCAACCGUGGAGGGUCAUUGGAAACUGGAGAACUUGAGUACAGAAGAGGAAAGCGGAAUUCCACGUGUAGCGGUGAAAUGCGUAGAGAUGUGGAGGAACACCAGUGGCGAAGGCGGCUUUCUGGUCUGUAACUGGCGCUGAGGCGCGAAAGCGUGGGGAGCAAACAGGGAUUAGAUACCCUGGUAGUCCACGCCGUAAACGAUGAGUGCUAAGUGUUAGGGGGUUUCCGCCCCCUUAGUGCUGCAGCCAACGCAUUAAGCACUCCGCCUGGGGAGUACGGCCGCAAGGCUG